GGUGAGGUAGCUCAGCUGGUUAGAGCGCAGGACUCAUAAUCCUGAGGUCGAGAGUUCAAGUCUCUCUCUCACCACCA
rnacentral:tRNA from 1 species